UCGGCAAAGCAAGAUUGGACGGUCCAGAUCUCUAAAGUACGUCAGCACAUAGAAACCCUAGCCGCACUCCCGACCCAGCCGACCACACCGUCUCCUCGUGUUUUCUCUCACGAGAGGAGAAAUCAGCGAAGAAAGCGCCGCCGCUUCACCCGCGUCGCCUCCUCCGCCGCCAUCCCUUUUCCUCCCUCUAACUCCCUAAUUCCGCCGAGCUUCUUCGCCGCAACCACCGUUCGUCGUCCAAGUUUCAUCGUCUGUUGGAUCCAGCGCCUCACAGGUGAGGAGCACUCCGACCUCUUCGGCAUCUCCGCCUCGACCGUGGGGUGUCAUCGCAAGCUGCCGGCGCUGGUUCAUCUCCACCUGACGAUCUCGACCUUCCAGUCGUCUAUGGUGAGGUGA
rnacentral:lncRNA from 1 species